AAUGAACGCUGGCGGCGUGCCUAACACAUGCAAGUCGGAUGUGCCGCAAGGUGCAUGGCAGACGGGUGAGUAACGCGUAGGGAAUCUACCUUUUUGUGGGGAAUAACGCUCCGAAAGGAGUGGUAAUACCGCAUGAGACCGUGAGCUGGGAUGUUCACGGGGAAACCUGGGGACCGCAAGGCCUGGGGCAAAAGGAGGAUCCUGCGUCUGAUUAGCUAGUUGGCGGGGUAAUGGCCCACCAAGGCGACGAUCAGUAGCCGGCCUGAGAGGGUGAUCGGCCACACUGGAACUGAGACACGGUCCAGACUCCUACGGGAGGCAGCAGUGGGGAAUUUUGCGCAAUGGACGAAAGUCUGACGCAGCAACGCCGCGUGGGUGAUGAAGGUCUUCGGACUGUAAAACCCUGUCGUCAGGGACGAAGGUGGCAGUGUUAAUAGCGCUGUUACUUGACGGUACCUGGAGAGGAAGCCCCGGCUAACUCUGUG
rnacentral:rRNA from 1 species